UUCUUCCCCAAUUUCAAUCUUUCUCCUUCUCCUUCACCUUCUCCUUCUCCUUUCUUCCCCCAUUUCAAUUUUUCCCCUUCUCUUUCCAGUAACUUUUGCUAUGGAUCAACAUUUUGAAGAUGAACAUUCUGAGGAAGUCCAUUUCAAAGAUGAAGAGUUCGAAGGAUCAACUCAAUAGAGACACGGAUCCUCAAUUCCCAAUUGGAAAGAACAGCCUUGUUCAUUUGAUUCGUGUGAAAAUUGUAUUAAUGAUAAUUCUAGUACCUUUUCAAAACAUGUAGCGGUAGAGGAGAUUGAUGGAAAAAAAAAAAGCAUAAUCGGCAGUUGAAAACAAUGAACCACACAACCGGUUCAAAAUCUUUUGCAAGAGUUCGGGAAGAAUAUGUAUAGGUUGACCAUUUUUAAGAAUUGUAGUUAAUUGUAGAUAUGGUGGAUAAUUGUUAGUGUUUGGUACUAUUAUUAUUGUUAAUAGUUUUAUUAAUGUUUGCUUUGGCCUAUAUAUGAAAUAUGGUGGGAAUUAUUUUAUAUAAUUUUUUUAAUUAUUAUUAAUUAAAAA